AUCAUUCUCAAUUAGGCUCAGUCUCUCUUUGCUUCUCUCCCUUCCAGACUCACUGAGAUCCCAGCUGACCUCCAGCCAUGAUGAGUUUUCACCUUCCGUUUGCUGUUCUUCUCUUGCUCUCCCUGGCUGCUGCAGGCUAUGCAGAGAUGCCCAUAGAUAUCUGUGGCCUACUUUUCCUCUGUUGAUUUGCUGGCCUGCUCCAUGGAAUGUGCAAGACCGGGAAGACGUUUUGCAGCAUUGAACUCUGCGGAUGACAGCUACAGAAAUUGAAGAGGGUGCGCAAGAUCUAAGGCCGUAGUGAGGCUGCUCAUGUCCUGGUCUCCUUUUAAAUAAAAGUUCUGGCUGUUCA